rnacentral:rRNA from 1 species
CCUACGGGAGGCAGCAGUCGAGAAUCAUUCACAAUGGGGGAAACUCUGAUGGUGCGACGCCGCGUGGGGGAAGGAAGGUCUUCGGAUUGUAAACCCCUGUCAUGGGGGAGAAAAUUAAAAAGAGAGUACCACAAGAGGAAGAGACGGCGAAACAGGUGCCAGCAGCCGCGGUAAUACAGAGGUAUCAAGAGUUGUUCGGAAUCACUGGGCGUAAAGCGUGCGUAGGCUGUUUCGUACGUCGUGUGUGAAAGGUGCGGGCUCAACCCGCGGACGGCACAUGAUACUGCGAGACUAGAGUAAUGGAGUGGGAACCGGAAUUCUCGGUGUAGCAGUGAAAUGCGUAGAUAUC